ensembl:snRNA U2 U2 spliceosomal RNA
AUUGCUUCUCGGCCUUUGGCUAAGAUCAAGUGUAGUAUCUGUUCUUAUCAGUUUAAUAUCUGAUACAUCCGCUCUCCAAAGACAACAUAUUGAAUGGCUUUUUGGAGAAGGGAGAUCGAAAAGGAGCUUGUUCCAUCCACUCCACACAUCGACCAGGUAUUGUGGUACUUCCAGGAACGGUGCCCCCCUC